rnacentral:rRNA from 1 species
AUUGAACGCUGGCGGCAUGCCUUACACAUGCAAGUCGAACGGCAGCACGGGUGCUUGCACCUGGUGGUGAGUGGCGAACGGGUGAGUAACACGUGGGUGAUCUGCCCUGCACUUCGGGAUAAGCCUGGGAAACUGGGUCUAAUACCGGAUAGGACCACUGCCUGCAUGGGUGGUGGUGGAAAGCUUUUGCGGUGUGGGAUGGGCCCGCGGCCUAUCAGCUUGUUGGUGGGGUGAUGGCCUACCAAGGCGACGACGGGUAGCCGGCCUGAGAGGGCGACCGGCCACACUGGGACUGAGACACGGCCCAGACUCCUACGGGAGGCAGCAGUGGGGAAUAUUGCGCAAUGGGCGAAAGCCUGACGCGGCAACGCCGCGUGCGGGAUGACGGCCUUCGGGUUGUAAACCGCUUUCAGCAGGGAAGAAGCCGCAAGGUGACGGUACCUGCAGAAGAAGCACCGGCUAACUACGUGCCAGCAGCCGCCGUAA